CCCUUAGAUGUUCUGGGCCGCACGCGCGCUACAAUGAUGAAUUCAACGAGUUUAUAACCUUGGUUGAACAGCCUGGGUAAUCUUUUGAACUUUCGUCGUGAUGGGGCUAGACCCUUGCAAUUAUUGGUCUCCAACGAGGAAUUCCUAGUAAACGCAAGUCAUCAGCUUGCAUUGAUUACGUCCCUGCCCUUUGUACACACCGCCCGUCGCACCUACCGAUUGAAUGGUCCGGUGAAAUCUUCGGAUUGAGACUUUGAUUUCUUCACGGAAAACGCUGUUUUAAAAAGUUGAUUAAACCUUACCAUUUAGAGGAAGGUGAAGUCGUAACA
rnacentral:rRNA from 1 species